GGAGCAGCUUCUGUGUUCAGAAAGGAGACUCCCGGUCACCUCGACAGGGUGGAUCCUGAGAUUAGGGAGCCUCCUGCCCUUCCUCUCUCUUUCUAGACCAGCGAUCUUGGUGAAUGCAGAAAGGCAGAGUGUGCUGUGGGGAAGAUGAGGGGCUUUGGAGUCAAGAACCCCAUAUUUGAAUCCCAGGGCCAUGUCUGACAAAAGACUCCUUCAGGGCCUCAGUUUCCCUGCUGGUAAAAUGGGGAUCAUAUCAACUCCAUUGAGAGCCCAACUCCCACGUCAAGAUGGGCUGCGGUGGAGACGGGAGACCCCGGCUCUGGCACUCGAUGGUGAGCAUUAAAAUCAUUUUAAUGCUGCGUUCAGGGUUUGUGUU